GAGCUUUUCGACAAAACGACGAAAGAUAAUAGCUGAUGUUGAAUAUUGCCUAAAAGAUCUAACCAUUAAAUCAAGCAAUAUUUCACAUUCACCAGAAGAAGUACAAUCAUUGUAUUUAAAAAGUAUAUCAGAUCGAAAACUUUCAACUGAGAGUGUUAUUCCCUCAGGUGCAAAUAAUAUUGAUUGUGAAGUGAACUCUGACAGUAAUCUAUUGAUAUUAAAUAUUGGCAUUAGACAAGAUAAUAGCUGUGGCAAGUAAAGGAGGCCAGACUUUAAAGGAGGCUGUCCAGAGAAUGUCUUUUGCGUUAUUCACUAAUAACCUCUGCUGUAAACUUAACUGGUCUGGUAUUACUAUAAAUGACAAUGAAAGUAACUUUGUAAAACAAAGACUUACACUUGCUUAAAAGAGCUGUAAAAAGAAAUCCUGCAACAACUUCAGCAACUGAAUCAGAUUUUCAAUAUGAGGUUGUGCGUUUUUUGCGUGGUGCAUCAGACCGCAAUGGCGGAAAAAAAGUUAGACAAGACCAAAAAAACAAACAAGCCAAGAAAAAAGUAAUGCCUACAUCAAGUUUUCCAAUGCCAUUAAAUAAAGAGUAACCUUUUGUAUAUGAGAUUGUAGAUGAAAAUUUAAAUCGUGAUAUUGAAUUAUACCAGAGAAUAAAGAAACCGUUUACCUCAACCAAAGUUAUAUUUCAUAGAAUUAUGUUGACCAUGAUCCAAAUAUUGCCAUGGGUAUAAGAUAGAUGUUUGAUUUGCAAACUGGAUUUAAAUCAUAUUUUCUUUAAACAUAUUUAUUUACUCUUUAUAUGCUUACAAAUAAUUUAUUAGAAAAAAUUAUAUACUUAUUUACUAAACCGUUUUAUUUCAAUCAAUUAUUUGAUUUUUUAUAUUUUUCAAGGAGUUUUUAUAGUAUAUUAUAUUGGGCUAUGUUUUUUUUUUUGUAUGGUGAAAACUAUGUUCAAUUUACAAACUAUAUUUUAGUUUAUCAAAAUAUAUUUUUAUUGAUGUGUUUUGCCUCUGAUUCUUUCUUUUUCAGAUGUGCACUUGUGUCUUAGGCUUAUGCUUUGCAAAAGGUUCAACAUCGCCCUUAAGUUGCUGAGGGUUUUACGGUUUUACUUCCAACCUGGCAUAUAAAUGCACUUAGUAUCUGAAGUUAUUUGUCAAUAACUGGUGAUCAGACUAUUUCAAACGAAUACGUUUUUAAGGGCUGAGAAGGUGAAAAAUAGAAGUCUGCAGACUGCAACGUAAAUCAAUUUUCAACACAUGGUUUCCUGAAUAUAUUUAGUUUUCGAUUGAAAUGAGAAUAAACUGAACUUAUAGAUAUGUUGAAAAUUAACUAUUUUAUAUUUUAAACAUUCGCUAAACGCAAGUGAAGCAAUAAUCUAUAGAUGCAAUUAUACUUUAUAUUUUGUUUUAGUUUAAAAAAAAAUUAUUGUUACUUUUAUAUUCAUGUUGUAAUUGUAAAUUGCAAUCUUAAAAUGAUUUUUAUUAUA